rnacentral:rRNA from 1 species
UGGAGGCAGCAGUGGGGAAUCUUCCGCAAUGGACGAAAGUCUGACGGAGCAACGCCGCGUGAGUGAAGAAGGCCUUCGGGUUGUAAAACUCUGUCUUUAGGGACGAAAGAUUUUUCUGUAAAUAAUGGAGAGAUGUGACGGUACCUAAGGAGGAAGCCCCGGCUAACUACGUGCCAGCAGCCGCGGUAAUACGUAGGGGGCAAGCGUUGUCCGGAAUCAUUGGGCGUAAAGGGCGCGUAGGCGGACAUUUAAGUCUGGUGUGAAAGACUGGGGCUCAACCCCAGGGUGGCAUCGGAAACUGGGUGUCUUGAGGACAGGAGAGGAAAGUGGAAUUCCACGUGUAGCGGUGAAAUGCGUAGAGAUGUGGAGGAACACCAGUGGCGAAGGCGACUUUCUGGACUGUCACUGACGCUGAGGCGCGAAAGCGUGGGGAGCAAACAGGAUUAGAUACCCUGGUAGU